GACGAACGCUGGCGGCGUGCCUAAUACAUGCAAGUCGAACGCAGUGGGGACGGGUGAGUAACCCGUGGGUAACCUCCCAUCAGAGGGGAUAACACUUGGAAACAGGUGCUAAACCGAUACUGAUGGAUGGACCCGCGGUGCAUUAGCUAGUUGGUGAGGUAACGGCUCACCAAGGCAACGAUGCAUAGGCGACCGGAGAGGUGGAGCGGCCACACGGGGACUGAGACACGGCCCAGACUCAUACGGGAGGGAGCAGGAGGGAAUCGUCGGCAAUGGAAGAAAGUCUGACCGAGCAAAGCCGCGUGAGUUAAGAAGGUUUUCGGAUCGUAAACCUCUGUUGUUAGAGAAGCGGUAUCUAACCAGAAAGCCACGGCUAACUACGUGCCAGCAGCCGCGGUAAUAC
rnacentral:rRNA from 1 species